AACCAUAGAAACCUGCGGAGUACCUGCGGAGGGAUCAUUAACGAGUUAGGGUCGUUCUGGCCCGAACUUCCAACCCCUUGUUUAUCACACCAUGUUGCUUUGGUAGGCCCGCUCUCUUAGGGGGGCCGCCGGAGGUUAUCCUACCUCUACCCCGUGCCUGCCAGUAGCCUUAUUAAAUUCUUUUUAACUGUGUCGUCUGAGUGGUAUUUUCAAAUCAUUUAAAACUUUCAACAAUGGAUC
rnacentral:misc_RNA from 1 species